GCUUCGACUCAGCUGUAGGCUGCAUGUUGGCAAUUUGGACUGGAGGAAGAGUUUCAGAGCGUUUCACCCUGGAUGCAGAUGAUCAUGCUGCAAAAACAUACAACAGAGGCUGACCGGGACUUCAUCGGCAGCAAUGCAAAAUCAAAAUCAGUUUACAGAAGAAAUAAUAUGGUUGGUGCUGGAUGCGGAGUGUUGUUUACCUGCAUGAAAGGAUAUCAUUUACAGAGCCAUCACCAGCAAGAGGCUGAUAUGACUGAUGCAGACAUAUGAGAAAGGGAGAGACUGCUUGUGCAAGCAAAACAUCGACAGGACGAAAAGUAAAGGCGAUCUGUGAAGAGCACCCUCACUUUUGAUGUAGGUAUUGUGCAGUUGGCUGCCAUCAAACACAUGCAUCAAUCACACACGGCACAGAUGUGGACUGUGAUGAAUAGACCCCUGGCAAGAUGUGGCGAUGAAAAUAAGCUUGACAAAGAACUUGAAUGAUUGUGACAGCCAAAUGGAAAAAAAAUAAAUAAAAGUUUUUGUUUCCAG